UACGGAGGGAGCUAGCGUUGUUCGGAAUUACUGGGCGUAAAGCGCACGUAGGCGGCUUUGUAAGUUAGAGGUGAAAGCCUGGGGCUCAACUCCAGAAUUGCCUUUAAAACUGCAUCGCUUGAAUCCAGGAGAGGUGAGUGGAAUUCCGAGUGUAGAGGUGAAAUUCGUAGAUAUUCGGAAGAACACCAGUGGCGAAGGCGGCUCACUGGACUGGUAUUGACGCUGAGGUGCGAAAGCGUGGGGAGCAAACAGG
rnacentral:rRNA from 1 species